rnacentral:rRNA from 1 species
GCGGUAUGCUUAACACAUGCAAGUCGAACGGUAACAGGCCUUCGGGCGCUGACGAGUGGCGGACGGGUGCGUAACGCGUAGGAAUCUGCCUGUUAGUGGGGGACAACGUGGGGAAACUCACGCUAAUACCGCAUACGCCCUACGGGGGAAAGCGGGGGACCUUCGGGCCUCGCGCUAACAGAUGAGCCUGCGUUGGAUUAGCUAGUUGGUAGGGUAAAGGCCUACCAAGGCGACGAUCCAUAGCUGGUCUGAGAGGACGAUCAGCCACACUGGGACUGAGACACGGCCCAGACUCCUACGGGAGGCAGCAGUGGGGAAUAUUGGACAAUGGGCGCAAGCCUGAUCCAGCAAUACCGCGUGUGUGAAGAAGGCCUGAGGGUUGUAAAGCACUUUUAAUCGGGAGGAACACCUGUCAGCGAAUACCUGGCAGUCUGACAUUACCGAUAGAAAAAGCACCGGCUAACUCCGUGCCA